GAUGAACGCUGACAGAAUGCUUAACACAUGCAAGUCAACUUGAAUUUGGGUUUUUAACUUAGGUUUGGGUGGCGGACGGGUGAGUAACGCGUAAAGAACUUGCCUCACAGCUAGGGACAACAUUUGGAAACGAAUGCUAAUACCUAAUAUUAUGAUAAUAGGGCAUCCUAUAAUUAUGAAAGCUAUAAGCGCUGUGAGAGAGCUUUGCGUCCCAUUAGCUAGUUGGAGAGGUAACGGCUCACCAAGGCGAUGAUGGGUAGCCGGCCUGAGAGGGUGAUCGGCCACAAGGGGACUGAGACACGGCCCUUACGCCUACGGGAGGCAGCAGUGGGGAAUACUGGACAAUGGACCGAGAGUCUGAUCCAGCAAUUCUGUGUGCACGAUGAAGUUUUUCGGAAUGUAAAGUGCUUUCAGUUGGGAAGAAGCAAAUGACGGUACCAACAGAAGAAGUGACGGCUAAAUACGUG
rnacentral:rRNA from 1 species